AACUCCCCAAACCCCUGUGAACAUACCACUUGUUGCCUCGGCGGAUCAGCCCGCUCCCGGUAAAACGGGACGGCCCGCCAGAGGACCCCUAAACUCUGUUUCUAUAUGUAACUUCUGAGUAAAACCAUAAAUAAAUCAAAACUUUCAACAACGGAUCUCUUGGUUCUGGCAUCGAUGAAGAACGCAGCAAAAUGCGAUAAGUAAUGUGAAUUGCAGAAUUCAGUGAAUCAUCGAAUCUUUGAACGCACAUUGCGCCCGCCAGUAUUCUGGCGGGCAUGCCUGUUCGAGCGUCAUUUCAACCCUCAAGCACAGCUUGGUGUUGGGACUCGCGUUAAUUCGCGUUCCUCAAAUUGAUUGGCGGUCACGUCGAGCUUCCAUAGCGUAGUAGUAAAACCCUCGUUACUGGUAAUCGUCGCGGCCACGCCGUUAAACCCCAACUUCUGAAUGUUGACCUCGGAUCAGGUAGGAAUACCCGCUGAACUUAAGCAUAUCAAUAG
rnacentral:rRNA from 1 species